UUAAAGGAAAUGCUUUCAGCUUUACAUUGUUGAGUACAGUGUUAGCUGUGGCCUUAUACAUGGCCUUUAUUAUACUGAGGUAUGUUUCCUUUAUACCCGCUCUAUAGAAGAGUUUUCAUUAUAAAUGGAUGUUGAAUUUUGUCAAAAGCUUUUCCUGCAUCUAUUAAAAGUGGUUUUAUGAUUUUUUUCUUCAAUUUGUUAAUGUGAUGUGUCACAUUAAUUUGAGAAUAUUGUAACAUCCUUGUAUCUCUCAGAUAAGUCUCACUUGAUCAUGGUAUAUGAUCCUUUUAAUGUAUUGUUGAAUUUGGUUUGCUAAUAUUUUGUUGAAAAUUUUUGCAUCUGUGUUCAUCAGCAAUAUUGGCCUAUUGUUCUAUCUUUUUGUAAUCUUUGGUUUCGAUAUCAGGGUUAUGGUGGCUUCAUAGAAUGAAUUUGAAAGAAGGAUAGGAGCUAACUCUUCUCAAUGUUUGGUUGAAUUCACCUGUGGUAGAAAAGCCCUGGACUUCUGUCAGAUCGGAAGAACA